UACGGGGGGGGCAAGCGUUGUUCGGAAUUACUGGGCGUAAAGGGCUCGUAGGCGGCCAACUAAGUCAGACGUGAAAUCCCUCGGCUUAACCGGGGAACUGCGUCUGAUACUGGAUGGCUUGAGAUUGGGAGAGGGAUGCGGAAUUCCAGGUGUAGCGGUGAAAUGCGUAGAUAUCUGGAGGAACACCGGCGGCGAAGGCGGCAUCCUGGACCAACACUGACGCUGAGGAGCGAAAGCCAGGGGAGCAAACGGG
rnacentral:rRNA from 1 species